GUCCAGCCUGCACUCAGGGGAAGGAGGAGGCGCGGGCGGCGGGGAGGCGCGGGAGGCCGGGCCGGGACACAAGCCCGCCGGCGGCCGCGGCUCCUCCCCGCCCCGCGCGCCCCGAUUGGCCUGGCCGCGCGCCAGGGCCGAGCCUGCAGCGCCUCCGGUUAUAAGUUGAAGAAAUAAGACCAGUUUCCAAAUAAAUGACAAAGAGCUUGGUAUUCCUGCAGGCAUCAGAAUCACCUGGAGGAGGAGAUGCUGCUGCUGGUGGUGGCCCAGAGACCACACAUUGAGAACCACUGCUCUAGAAAACCAUUUGUCUUUGCUGAUGGAGAAACCUGGCUCUAAUAGAAGGGCUUGUAUGUGUCCAGGAAGUCUAGUGAAUUCGACCAUGAAUCCAGACAUGGCCAGUGGCUAAAUCCUGUGGGAAGACACUGUGCUUCUCUCUGACCCAUGAACACUCUGCUAGUCAAGCUCUCUGUCACAAAGACAACUUGAAGAGACAGAGUGGACCUCACAGAAGAUACCAUCGUCACUCUUACCAAUGCAACUGUGGUGAACAGGACCACUAUUAUUCCUUAGAUCAAAAGGACAGCACAUUCAACAGCAUCCUCAUGGCAUGCCAGCAAUUUGCAUAGGAUGUUCACAAUUAAACUUUGAUUAUCUAGUGCUUUGUGGAUGUAUUAUGUAUUACAGAAAUCUAUUUGCAA
rnacentral:lncRNA from 1 species